UACGUAGGGGGCAAGCGUUGUCCGGAUUUAUUGGGCGUAAAGAGCGUGUAGGCGGCUAGGUAGGUCCGUUGUGAAAACUCGAGGCUCAACCUCGAGACGUCGAUGGAAACCAUCUAGCUAGAGUCCGGAAGAGGAGAGUGGAAUUCCUGGUGUAGCGGUGAAAUGCGCAGAGAUCGGGAGGAACACCAGUGGCGAAGGCGGCCGGCUGGGGGUGACCUGGACGCA
rnacentral:rRNA from 1 species